rnacentral:rRNA from 1 species
AUGUGAGUCCCACCAUGCUCGUGCGCCUGCAAGCCAGGCGUGCAUAAUGCUUGUCUGCAUAUUCACUACUACACAUGUAGUAGCGAUUGCGCGUUUGUUCAUGAUGCAGAGCCAAGAGAUCCGUGUGAAAGUUGAAUAUUGAUUGCGGGGCGCAAAAAUAUAGCUCUCUACACGUAUCAGAGUGUUAAAGAGGCGGCGCUCUGCAAAGGGGGCACCCCGCGUGUGCACACAAAGUGAGAUGGAUUUGUGAGAGGCUCGGGCGUGCACGACCGGGAAGUCAGCACCACCCCGCCCCGGAAGGUAAAAAGUCGUAACAAGGCUUCCGUAGGGGGGACCUGCGGAAGGAUCAUUAUCGUUAAACAGAGGCGCGAGGGCUGUCGCUGACCUUCCCCGGUCGUGCACGCCCGAGCCCUCUCACACAAUCCAUCUCACCCUUUGUGCACCACCGCGUGGGUCCCCCUUUGCCGGAGGGCCCGCGUCUUUACACAAAACUCGAUACAGUGUAGAAUGUUUAUUUUCGCGGUCGCACGCGAUCAAUAAUACAACUUUCAACAACGGAUCUCUUGGCUCUCGCAUCGAUGAAGAACGCAGCGAAAUGCGAUACGUAAUGUGAAUUGCAGAAUUCAGUGAAUCAUCGAAUCUUUGAACGCACCUUGCGCCCCUUGGCAUUCCGAGGGGCACACCCGUUUGAGUGUCGUGAAAUCUUCAAAAACCCUCUCUUUUGAGGAUUUUUGGACUUGGAGGUUCAAUGCUCGCUUUCUUCUUUUAGGAAGCGAGCUCCUCUCAAAUGAAUCAGUGGGGUCUGCUUUGCCGGUCCUUGACGUGAUAAGAUGUUUCUACGUUUUGGAUUCGACAUCGUCCCGCUCCCAAUCGUCCCACGGACAAAAGGAUGGUGCUCCGGUCGCGGGUCAUCGCUCGCGGCUGGACCCACGAAAAAAAAACCUGACCUCAAAUCGGGUGAGACACUCAG